CAGGAGUUCAUUACCGUUGUGUGGUCACCUUACCUCUGCUGACGAGGACAGCUCUAGUUAAUAACCGGUUGAAAGUCAUUUUGCCUGAAGAAGAGCGAUCCUGCCACUCCGCGCUCGAUUCAACUUCCUGGAAGGAGCAUCUAACAGAGAGAUGGAGGAGAUGUGAAGCCAGAUGGAGGCCCAAACAAAGGAAAUGGAGGAUAAGCUGAGAGCCACAGCAAAAACCAUGGUCCAGAACCAGAGAGAGCUCUGGACAAACGAGAGACAGCAGCUGCUGGAAGAAAAAAGGCCAUGCAGAAGAAGCUGUCUGUGAAUGAGAGUGAAAAGAAAAAGCUCAAGGCCAACCUCCAGAAGGCAAAAGAGACCAAUGGAAGGAGAGAGCAAGAGAUUAACUCCCUUCACCUCUACCUCUCUGCUCUGAGAGUACACCAUGUUACAUCAAAAGACACUUCAAAUUUAUCAUCCUAUUUAAUAGAGUCAACUGUUAAAUUCAAGUUUAAUACUGUUAAUACAUUCCUAAAAUGAUGUAAAAAAAGUAUUUGUUCUGUAAUUUUACAUGUAUUUGUUUGUUUAUUGACAGAUAUCUUGUAUAAUAUAUAAACAAAAACAUUGAAUACAUUUUUUUAAUCAAUGUACAUUCACAGAUGGUGACUUUAAUUACAGUUCUAUAACGUUUAAAGUCCAAAUUAAAAUAAGAAAAAUCAAAUAAUUACAGCACUCUUUGGUAAAUUUAAACCUGAUCAUUUGUAUUGCAGUGUUUGCCUGUAUUUAUAGUUUCGUUGAUUUUACAUGUGUAAAUAUCUUUAAUCAAACAUUAAAAAGCCAAGAAAUUACCCAA